UUAAGCGACUAAGCGUACACGGUGGAUGCCCUGGCAGUCAGAGGCGAUGAAGGACGUGCUAAUCUGCGAUAAGCGUCGGUAAGGUGAUAUGAACCGUUAUAACCGGCGAUUUCCGAAUGGGGAAACCCAGUGUGUUUCGACACACUAUCAUUAACUGAAUCCAUAGGUUAAUGAGGCGAACCGGGGGAACUGAAACAUCUAAGUACCCCGAGGAAAAGAAAUCAACCGAGAUUCCCCCAGUAGCGGCGAGCGAACGGGGAGCAGCCCAGAGCCUGAAUCAGUGUGUGUGUUAGUGGAAGCGUCUGGAAAGGCGCGCGAUACAGGGUGACAGCCCCGUACACAAAAAUGCACAUAUUGUGAGCUCGAUGAGUAGGGCGGGACACGUGGUAUCCUGUCUGAAUAUGGGGGGACCAUCCUCCAAGGCUAAAUACUCCUGACUGACCGAUAGUGAACCAGUACCGUGAGGGAAAGGCGAAAAGAACCCCGGCGAGGGGAGUGAAAAAGAACCUGAAACCGUGUACGUACAAGCAGUGGGAGCACGCUUAGGCGUGUGACUGCGUACCUUUUGUAUAAUGGGUCAGCGACUUAUAUUCUGUAGCAAGGUUAACCGAAUAGGGGAGCCGAAGGGAAACCGAGUCUUAACUGGGCGUUAAGUUGCAGGGUAUAGACCCGAAACCCGGUGAUCUAGCCAUGGGCAGGUUGAAGGUUGGGUAACACUAACUGGAGGACCGAACCGACUAAUGUUGAAAAAUUAGCGGAUGACUUGUGGCUGGGGGUGAAAGGCCAAUCAAACCGGGAGAUAGCUGGUUCUCCCCGAAAGCUAUUUAGGUAGCGCCUCGUGAAUUCAUCUCCGGGGGUAGAGCACUGUUUCGGCAAGGGGGUCAUCCCGACUUACCAACCCGAUGCAAACUGCGAAUACCGGAGAAUGUUAUCACGGGAGACACACGGCGGGUGCUAACGUCCGUCGUGAAGAGGGAAACAACCCAGACCGCCAGCUAAGGUCCCAAAGUCAUGGUUAAGUGGGAAACGAUGUGGGAAGGCCCAGACAGCCAGGAUGUUGGCUUAGAAGCAGCCAUCAUUUAAAGAAAGCGUAAUAGCUCACUGGUCGAGUCGGCCUGCGCGGAAGAUGUAACGGGGCUAAACCAUGCACCGAAGCUGCGGCAGCGACACUAUGUGUUGUUGGGUAGGGGAGCGUUCUGUAAGCCUGUGAAGGUGUGCUGUGAGGCAUGCUGGAGGUAUCAGAAGUGCGAAUGCUGACAUAAGUAACGAUAAAGCGGGUGAAAAGCCCGCUCGCCGGAAGACCAAGGGUUCCUGUCCAACGUUAAUCGGGGCAGGGUGAGUCGACCCCUAAGGCGAGGCCGAAAGGCGUAGUCGAUGGGAAACAGGUUAAUAUUCCUGUACUUGGUGUUACUGCGAAGGGGGGACGGAGAAGGCUAUGUUGGCCGGGCGACGGUUGUCCCGGUUUAAGCGUGUAGGCUGGUUUUCCAGGCAAAUCCGGAAAAUCAAGGCUGAGGCGUGAUGACGAGGCACUACGGUGCUGAAGCAACAAAUGCCCUGCUUCCAGGAAAAGCCUCUAAGCAUCAGGUAACAUCAAAUCGUACCCCAAACCGACACAGGUGGUCAGGUAGAGAAUACCAAGGCGCUUGAGAGAACUCGGGUGAAGGAACUAGGCAAAAUGGUGCCGUAACUUCGGGAGAAGGCACGCUGAUAUGUAGGUGAAGUCCCUCGCGGAUGGAGCUGAAAUCAGUCGAAGAUACCAGCUGGCUGCAACUGUUUAUUAAAAACACAGCACUGUGCAAACACGAAAGUGGACGUAUACGGUGUGACGCCUGCCCGGUGCCGGAAGGUUAAUUGAUGGGGUUAGCCGCAAGGCGAAGCUCUUGAUCGAAGCCCCGGUAAACGGCGGCCGUAACUAUAACGGUCCUAAGGUAGCGAAAUUCCUUGUCGGGUAAGUUCCGACCUGCACGAAUGGCGUAAUGAUGGCCAGGCUGUCUCCACCCGAGACUCAGUGAAAUUGAACUCGCUGUGAAGAUGCAGUGUACCCGCGGCAAGACGGAAAGACCCCGUGAACCUUUACUAUAGCUUGACACUGAACAUUGAGCCUUGAUGUGUAGGAUAGGUGGGAGGCUUAGAAGUGUGGACGCCAGUCUGCAUGGAGCCGACCUUGAAAUACCACCCUUUAAUGUUUGAUGUUCUAACGUUGACCCGUAAUCCGGGUUGCGGACAGUGUCUGGUGGGUAGUUUGACUGGGGCGGUCUCCUCCUAAAGAGUAACGGAGGAGCACGAAGGUUGGCUAAUCCUGGUCGGACAUCAGGAGGUUAGUGCAAUGGCAUAAGCCAGCUUGACUGCGAGCGUGACGGCGCGAGCAGGUGCGAAAGCAGGUCAUAGUGAUCCGGUGGUUCUGAAUGGAAGGGCCAUCGCUCAACGGAUAAAAGGUACUCCGGGGAUAACAGGCUGAUACCGCCCAAGAGUUCAUAUCGACGGCGGUGUUUGGCACCUCGAUGUCGGCUCAUCACAUCCUGGGGCUGAAGUAGGUCCCAAGGGUAUGGCUGUUCGCCAUUUAAAGUGGUACGCGAGCUGGGUUUAGAACGUCGUGAGACAGUUCGGUCCCUAUCUGCCGUGGGCGCUGGAGAACUGAGGGGGGCUGCUCCUAGUACGAGAGGACCGGAGUGGACGCAUCACUGGUGUUCGGGUUGUCAUGCCAAUGGCACUGCCCGGUAGCUAAAUGCGGAAGAGAUAAGUGCUGAAAGCAUCUAAGCACGAAACUUGCCCCGAGAUGAGUUCUCCCUGACUCCUUGAGAGUCCUGAAGGAACGUUGAAGACGACGACGUUGAUAGGCCGGGUGUGUAAGCGCAGCGAUGCGUUGAGCUAACCGGUACUAAUGAACCGUGAGGCUUAACCU
rnacentral:rRNA from 1 species